ensembl:lncRNA
UUUUUUUUUAGUAUAUUUUUUUUUCCUGAUGUUUACACUUUGGAAUAUAAUCCUUAGCAAACAUUACCUUUUCAGAAUGGAUUAAGGUUUUACUGAGGACCUGUGUGCCAAGUACUACACAUGUCCGUGUGCUGGCCGGUCAUGAAGUAACAUCUGGUUAUUGAGGACUGCAUGUCGGUCACAGAUCCGUAUGGGAUGCACCUUGUGCUGUGCUGACGUGCCUUCCAGGGUUACUGAAAAUGUGCCACCGCGCGGGUCUUUUGUCCCCUGAAAUAUUUGAAGGAAGCGAGCCCUCAGCCAUGAACAGCUUUUGGCUUCUCGGAAGCCGCUCAUUGUCCAGGUCAGGCUGAGAGGGGCUCUGCUGACCAUCGUGGGUGCCUGCCCCCGGCGAGCAGAGAGGGCGUCUGCUGACCAUCGUGGGUGCCCGCCCCCGGCGAGCGAUUAACACUUUCCACUCAGCUAGCUGGCCUCUGGAUGUGCGUUGUUAACCUGAAGGUACUUAUUAACUAGUCGUCUAUUACCCUAUAGUAUGACUUAUGAGAUGACAAGUCAUCUUGACGUCCGUCAGGAGAGGAAUGAACUGCUGACUCUCCCAGGAGUUUGCAGCCUCUGUGUCUAAGAUGCCCUGCUUUCAGUUCUUUUUGGUGCUGGGGAACAGCAUAUAUAGUUUGCUUUGGUUUUCAGAAUUUUCUUUUGUAAACAUACGCGGCCUUUAAAAGAAACGAUUUGCAUGUGAUCUUGGUACACUGCAAGACAGAAGUAGAGGUUCUAGUGUGAAGCUGAGGUCCAGGGGUCACCGGGCCCCCUCCUCAGUCUCCUGAGCCCCAUCCUGGCGGCACUGGGGCCGCCUGCAGGGCACCUGGGCACCGCUGGUCAGAAGCAUUCAUUGCUUUCAUCGGCCAAACCAGUGUCCUGUCACCACUGUCAUUGAUUUGGUCUUCAUAAUUUUAUAUUCUGAUUUUAACCAGAAUUGUUCUCUUUUGAAAAUUAAUUUUGUAUUAUGCAUUCUUGAUUUGGUUCAUCAGUAGGUGCUAUUAUUCAUAAGACCUGUGAUUCCAGUAGAUUAGGGGAAUUGAUACCUUUUUGCAGUUUUGAAUAAAAGUGUUGAUAAUUUCUAAAUUAUCAUUUAUAAAAUUCUUAGAGCUUCAACAUUUUGCGUCAUCACAGGCUGAUUUAGUAUUGUUUUGUAUUAAAAUAGUCCUUUUCCCUUUCGUGCUGCCAUUCAUUCCGUGCCAUUAGUCCUUAAAAUGCGUUUAAAGAAGAAAUAGCCAAGUUGACUGUUACACCUCAUCCAAACAGAUACAUCACAAACAUACGAGGGCGACAGUGCCUGGGAUGGACGUGGUACUUCUCAGUCUGCCUGUUCUGAGAGAAGAGCAAUUAGCAUGGUCACGUCACCUUGUGCUUGAAGUGGAAAACUUUAAGAUCGGAAAAAUUUAAAGUCAGAUCAGGGAUUUACAGCUGUCUACUUUGGUAGUGCCUUAGGCAGCCUUUCCAGAGUAAAUUCAGGGCCCCCUUGUUGCCUAUGCCUUAUUUAACAUACUUUGCCUUAUUAAUUGUGUAAAUUUUCUGGAAAAUCAUCUUCAAUAAAAUUUCUCCUAGUCUCUUUAUAUGUGUGGUUGGUAGUCAUGGAAGUGACACAUAUGGUAAACCAGAAGCUUGGUUGAGAUUUCGAGAGACUAUUUUGUGGUUUUAUGUCAUAUUUGAUAAUAAGUAUGUAAGUUACUAAUAUAUGAAUUGAUGUUAAGUAUAUCUUCCAUUUGGAUAAAGUCAUUUCUUGAUGUGUUACAAUAGUACCUUGUUUUUAUUUUUGUUCUUUCUUCAAAUGAUAUUGGUCAAAAAGUUAGAAAUAAAGUUAGUGCUUUAAUCAGC